GGGGGAGGGGUCUCGCGAUGCAUCUAGAUUAGAGUUUGAUCACUGGCUCAGAUUGAACGCUGGCGGCAGGCUUAACACAUGCAAGUCGAGCGGGGAAGGGUAGCUUGCUACCUGACCUAGCGGCGGACGGGUGAGUAAUGCUUAGGAAUCUGCCUAUUAGUGGGGGACAACAUUCCGAAAGGAAUGCUAAUACCGCAUACGCCCUACGGGGGAAAGCAGGGGAUCUUCGGACCUUGCGCUAAUAGAUGAGCCUAAGUCAGAUUAGCUAGUUGGUGGGGUAAAGGCCUACCAAGGCGACGAUCUGUAGCGGGUCUGAGAGGAUGAUCCGCCACACUGGGACUGAGACACGGCCCAGACUCCUACGGGAGGCAGCAGUGGGGAAUAUUGGACAAUGGGCGAAAGCCUGAUCCAGCCAUGCCGCGUGUGUGAAGAAGGCCUUUUGGUUGUAAAGCACUUUAAGCGAGGAGGAGGCUACCGAGAUUAAUACUCUUGGAUAGUGGACGUUACUCGCAGAAUAAGCACCGGCUAACUCUGUGCCAGCAGCCGCGGUAAUACAGAGGGUGCGAGCGUUAAUCGGAUUUACUGGGCGUAAAGCGUGCGUAGGCGGCUUUUUAAGUCGGAUGUGAAAUCCCUGAGCUUAACUUAGGAAUUGCAUUCGAUACUGGGAAGCUAGAGUAUGGGAGAGGAUGGUAGAAUUCCAGGUGUAGCGGUGAAAUGCGUAGAGAUCUGGAGGAAUACCGAUGGCGAAGGCAGCCAUCUGGCCUAAUACUGACGCUGAGGUACGAAAGCAUGGGGAGCAAACAGGAUUAGAUACCCUGGUAGUCCAUGCCGUAAACGAUGUCUACUAGCCGUUGGGGCCUUUGAGGCUUUAGUGGCGCAGCUAACGCGAUAAGUAGACCGCCUGGGGGAGUACAGUCGCAGACUAAAACUCAAUGAAUUGACCGGGGCCGCACAAGCGGUGGAGCAUGUGGGUUUAAUUCUAUGCAACGCGAAGAAACCUUACCUGGGCUUGACAUAGUAAGAACUUUUCUUCAGAUGGAAUUGGUGCGUUCCCGGAACUUACAUACAAGUGCUGCAUGCCUGUCGUCAGCUCAUGUCUGAAAUGAAUGGGUAAGUCCGCACGAGGCACACUCCUAUUGCUACGUUAGCCGGGACUUAGAUCUGCAUGCAACAUCGGAUGCGAACGUCAUUCAUGCUGA
rnacentral:rRNA from 1 species